rnacentral:rRNA from 1 species
AACGAACGCUGGCGGCAGGCUUAACACAUGCAAGUCGAACGCAUCGCAAGAUGAGUGGCAGACGGGUGAGUAACGCGUGGGAACAUACCCUUUUCUACGGAAUAGCUCUGGGAAACUGGAAUUAAUACCGUAUACGCCCUACGGGGGAAAGAUUUAUCGGGGAAGGAUUGGCCCGCGUUGAAUUAGCUAGUUGGUGGGGUAAAGGCCUACCAAGGCGACGAUCCAUAGCUGGUCUGAGAGGAUGAUCAGCCACAUUGGGACUGAGACACGGCCCAAACUCCUACGGGAGGCAGCAGUGGGGAAUAUUGGACAAUGGGCGCAAGCCUGAUCCAGCCAUGCCGCGUGAGUGAUGAAGGCCUUGGGGUUGUAAAGCUCUUUCACCGAUGAAGAUAAUGACGGUAGUCGGAGAAGAAGCCCCGGCUAACUUCGUGCCAGCCGCCGCGGUAAUAC